rnacentral:lncRNA from 1 species
UUUAAAUAAAGUCCUUUAAUUAUUAUAUAUAAAUUCGCAAUUGAGACAAUGACAUUUUAAGGUUUUAAAUAAUGCAACUGGAGACACGCAUUUUAUACAAGUUCCAGCUUUCUUGUUCUAUCAACAUGGUACCAUAAUUUCUCUCUCUCACGUCCCAGAAGUUUAUCUCAUCUUUAAACAUCGACAGAGUGAACUGAUUUUUCUGAAUAUCGCAUCUACUAAUGGCUGAGACGGUAUGAAAAUAUUACAAGUUCUAUCAUAUUUGAUUUUGAUGUCACUGCUUGGGCUUGUCUUUCACACAUGUUUCUUCAUCGAGUUUGUCACAUGUAACAGGUUACUGAAAUGGUACUAAAGGUUGAUCUCCAAUGUACUUCCUGCUACAAGAAAAUCAAAAAAAUUCUUUGCAAAUUCCCUGGUAAGUCUUCAAAUUCAUCCAUAUUCUGUGCUCGUUUUUGCGUAUGUCUGAACAAGAACAUACAUAUUUUCUUGCGAAUAUUCCAUGUGCGCGCACGCGCGUGAUAGGAGCUGACUUAUAUUCUUUGAUGUAAAUUUUUUUGGGACAAAAGAAAUUAGAGGGCAGACUUAUGAUGUCAAGCAAAAUACAGUCACAAUCAGUGUAGUAUGCUGCAGCCCAGAAAAAUUUCGGGACAAAUUGUGCUGCAAAGGUGGAAAAGUUAUCCAGUGUAUUGUAAUAAUACCGCCCCCGCCCCCGCCCCCGCCCAAGUGCACGCCAAAGACUUGCUGUGGACCAUGUUCUUUUGGCUACCCAGUUCCGCCGCCGUGUUACGCCGGUCAUUAUUGUUACGGCUAUGGGUGUAGCUGUAGGAGGGGUUGAUGCAAGAUUAUGUAAUAAGUAAUUUAUGAUAUAUAUAUUUUUACCGUGUCUGAGUUUGAGGUAUUGGACCGUGAUGUAAUAAUGGAGUUUUCAUGGGACAUAAAAAUAAAACCCAGAUGGCGAUUGAUUUGUUGGGAUUACUUAGGUGUCUUGAUACUAUGUAUAUGGAUUACAUGCUAUGUGGGUCAUCAAACUUUGAGAACAUGGCAUUCACGUCACUCACUUGUCUUCAAUUUAAUGUAAUCGGUUUACUCAACUUUAAUUACUUUCAACGUUUAAAUUAUCAUUAUUAUGAAAGGUUGAACUCCAACUUUGAGGAUCCCCAUCACCCUCCCCUACAGCUUUGUGAGGGAUGUAAAUCGCGGCACGUGUCCCAGUAGGUCAGAGAACAAGAGUUGCAUGUACAUUGUGCUUACAAGGAGUCGAAUUUCAUAUCUCAAGAAUCGAAUCCUUACGCUGCAGCUGUCUGUAAGGCGUGAGAUAACCUCACUCCUAUCUUUUGCACCACUGGACUGUGUCAUGGAGGGCUAAAUUAUCAUUAUUAUGUUUGUUACAUGUGAUUGAUAGAAUGAUGAAAUUUGCAAUUAAAUCGAAGUUGACUGAUCAUAUAUUGAGCGAAAUUGAAAAGAAUGAUUCAGAUAUAAUUUAACUCUAAAUAGGUGAUCUGCAUAGCAUUUAACUCGUAUGCCUAAUUCCAUUUUUAAUGAAAUAUUGUCUUUAUUUUAUUCCUAAUCUUUUAGUGAAAAGGUUGGCCGUAGUGAUGAAGACUCAUAGUGGAUGAUAGUAAUGGUUUUGACAAGUGUGAUAGGUAAGCAUUUGAUCACAACCACAACAAUAAUGAUAUUAUCAACAACCAAGACCAAGACCAAGACCAAAAAUAAAAAUUCAGCUUUUUGUUCUGAAUAUAUUUGAAAUUGGUUAUGAAAUCUUAAUUUUUUUUACAAUGUUUAAUUCAUUUCAAUGUUUUAUAAGGCUAUGUGAAAGGAGAACAAAUAAUCUUGAAUGCACAGAGUAAUUCUAAACUUCAAAUUACUGAUGAAUUAUCUAAGGACUAAGGUGAUUGUCACCACAAUUUUUUAUUGUUGUACUAUUUUUUAAUUGUUUUUACAAAUUUUUAACUUCUAUAUCAAAAAAAAUUAGUCAUAUUUUUAUCGUCAGCCUUUCAUUAAAUAGCACAUCUUGUUCAUUAUGAAAGUUUUCGUCCAAAAUAUUCAUGAAGAGAGCCUUAAAAGACUUAUUUUAUUUUCAUAUCACUACCAUAUAAAAAGGGAAUGAGAAUGCACUGUAGUUAAAACAGUGAAUUCUUAUAUUUUAUCAUACUGUAACAAUUUUUUUCUUCGUGUGAGCAAAAACGACAUCGUUUUGUCUUCAAUUUUUUCAUGAUUUUGACAUUUUUGCUUUUCCUCAAUUCAUGCAGGCCUCUUUACUUUUUCUCAAUUUCUACACGCUAUAGCCUCUUUACUUCUUCAUUUUUUCACACAAAUCACCCAUCAUUUCUUCUUCUCUCUAAUGUUCACUGGGUUCUUUCUUCUUUUUCCGCGCGCGUGUGUGUGUAUUGUGAAUAAGCUAAUUUCUAUUCUAUAUUUUGUGUAUAAGCUAAUUUGUUUUAUAUUUAUUUUUCAUAUUUUUCCUUGAUAUCUAAUCUAAGAUUUCAAUGUUUUGGGACUAUUUUCAACGGGUAAGUUAAUUUCCUUUUUUCCCCCCUGUAGUUCUUUGUUUGUAUUGUUUUUUUGAAGUGACGUGUUUAAAAAUGUCUACUGUUUGAAUCUUUUUUUUUUCAGUUAGUUGGGUUAAAAUUCUAGUUUGAACGUGUUAUUUAGUUGCUUGUGAUUUUGUGUCACUUUCUUUGGAAGUCUACAGGAUUUAUACUUAUUGUCUUUUUUCUGAAAUUCACUUUUCAAAUAUGUCAUUUUUGUUCUUGACGUCAAGAUUUAUUCGAAAAUUCUUUUUGGUCGUGUUUAUGUUGAUUUCUUUGUCUUCCAAUUGCAUUUUAUAAAUUGGAACAUACAUGCGACUCAUUGUCUUUGUAUUCAUUUUCUAUAGCUGAAAAUUUUCAUUUGGUCUCGUCGUGUUUUCUAUCUUUGAAGUGCAUGAAAGUGCAUUUUUCGACUACUAUUACAUAUUCAAGUUCAAGAUUUACCUGUUAUUAUUAUUAUUUUUUUUUUGUUAGAUCAAAGGAAGUUGAGAGAGAAAGAUGGAAGUAAGUGCGACAAAAGUGAAGAAUCUUGAUUUCCACUUUUCUUUUUCUUUUAUCUUUUGUAUUUCAGUCUCUUCCAUAACACUCAUUUGCCAAAAUAUUUAUUAGAAGUUCAAACAUUGCACUAUAUUUUUCUAUCAAACAAUGAGUGUGAGUUCUUAAUCAGUAUACUUUUACUUGCUGUGAUGGGGUGAAAUUUGGGGAAAUCUGCGUAUUUGGUGUGUUUGCUUCUUCCAGGAGAAUGUUAGCAAAGUAGAAAACUUAAAUUUGGAAUAUUUGAAGUCCUAAUUAGAAAGACAUUUUUUUUUAGUUGUACUAACUUAAAAGUGUAUUUUAUUUGGGGUUUCCUCGCUUAGGUGAAAAUUGUUUUCAAAACACUUUUAUUGAUUGAAAGAUGAAGAAAAUUUGAAUUUUUUCGGAGUUCUUUAAGUUCUUUGUUGAAUUUACUUCGAAGUUCUUUUUUCUUAUUUUUACGCAAAUAUUUUUAUAACUCUUAAUAGACCUAAUAAUGUUACUUUUGUUAGCUUGAUUACAAUUUUCAGGGAGGCAUAGAAUAUGUUUGACUAAGGAGGUUUUCUGUAAUUCGUGGCAGCAAUAGCAUAUAAGUUUUUCCUACAAUGAUUUUGAGGGGGAAAAUCUGCUUUCAAUUGGUUUUAAUUUUAGCUUGGAUGUACUCUUAUACAGGAACUAUGAUAUUAAUUGAGAUUUUACGUUAUAUUUUUGAUGGAUUGGUUGAGGUUUGGAAGUUCUGAACUUCAGCUCUUAUUCGUGUUUUGAUUUAAAUUUAUGGAUGUUCUACAACUCAAUUUCAUUUGAGGGAACACAUUAUAUAUGAGUUGGUUUCAUUAGAAGUAUUAAUGUUGGUACUUUUUUUCUCUCUCUUUUUGGGUGUGCGAUGGAUGCAUAUUAAAAUUAAAUAAAAGCAUGUGGUGGUUAUUGAGUAGAUAUAUACAACAAAUAUUUUGAUGCAAU